AAUCCUAACCAGCAGGUAAUCCAGAAUCCUGGUUUUGUGACGGACCGGUCUUGAUGAUGCCUACCUUGCAGCCAUCAGUAAAAGCUUGAUUUCUUCCGAGACUAGGAGUCACCAUUGCAAAUAAGGCAGAAAUAUUUAAUCUUCUCUUCAUGCCUGAGACUGGAGCUCCAAGAAUUGUGAACAACUGGUCCUUUGUGUGAAAGAUACAGGAUUAGCUUGAAUGCUUUAUAAAGGAAAGGGAAGGCUUCUAGAAAUUUCUUCACCAAGUCAGCAGAGCAAAUCCCUCCCUGACAAACCCUGGGGAUUCGGGCCGAUGGUUCUUAUGGAAGCCUUAGAGCUAUAGUGUGGUGAUGAUAGUGUGUGGGGUGAAAUCCAGAUGCUGCACAAUGAACAGCAUGUCUUACACCAUGACAACCAGACUGUGAGACCAUAGAGCUGUGGAUCUGUUUAACCCUCGUCAUUCAACUACAAGGGAGUCCUCAAGCAUCCAUCUUUAGCCGUGUGGGUGGGUGUGAGUGUGUUUGUGUGCGCUCUUAUAUGCCCCCUCUGCCAGAGGCACAUAAAUCAUACGUAAUGUGCUCAGACGUGACAAGAGUAGAAUGCAGUGAGAAACAACUCUUCCAACAGUUUUGGAAAGGGACGUUACAGACAGUUGCCAGUGCAAGGCCUGCGAGUAUAACCAUGGAGAGCACUGAACCCAAAGAGCCUGUCAGAGCACCUGCAAACAGUCUGAAGAGGAAAUCGAGCAGUUCUCCCUCACCACCACCCAAGAAGAAAAAGAAGAAGAAAUCGGGUCACUACAAAAGUCGCUGUGAAAGUUCCUCAUCGUCGCGGAAAGAGAGAAAGAAGAAGAGUGGGAAGAAACACAAGAGAGACAGGUCUGAUUCAGGCUCCAGAAAAAAGAGGAGGCAUAGGUCUACAACUCCUAAAAGCAAACGCAAAGACAGAAACAAACAAAGAAAGCGAUCACCCAGUGAAUCACCACCACGGAAGUCACAUAAAGGACGGAGUUGCUGCAGCUCUCGUAGCAUCUCUGCAUCUUCAGUGCACAGUUCCUCCAAAUCUCUGAGCAGCUGCCACAGCCGGUCGUCUGAGCGCAGAACAUCACACAGCAAGAACAAGCAGAGUGCUAUGCCCAGGCAGAGCCCCAGGAAUGAUACUAAUGGACGGAAACCAUGUUGUGCUCGAUCCAGUCCCAAUCAAUCCCCACUGCGAGCUCGGCACAGCAGAUCAGUGACUCCCAGGCAGAAUGGGCACAAGGGAGCUUCGUGGAAUGGCAGGCAUAGUCCAAGGCACAGGCAUCGUCCAGACAGAUCACAGGAUAGCACGGACUCCAGGUCAUUGUCACCAGGAGCAGAACCCAGAUCUGCGUCGACAUCUCCCAAGGCCAAGGACACCAAGCAAUCGAAGCAUGGGUCCAGGAGUUUCAGGUCCAGGUCCCCAGGCCACAGCAGGAGAUCUUCCACUGAGGGCAGGCAUGCAAAGCACAGAUCAAGGUCAGCAUCCACACAUAGGGGCUCAAGCCGACGGAAGCCGACCCUACCAGCUCACAAAGGGUCUCCACGCUCUCCAAGCCAAUCAGACUUCAGCAGUGACUCUGCAGAAUCUGUCGGCAGUCGCUCACGACCGCACAACGUGUCAGGGUGGAGUAAAAGCACGCGAGCAAAGAAGUUAAGGCAGAUGCCACACCGCCACCAUCGAAGCCAUUUCACAAGCAGGAACAAGAGUCGCACUCGGUCACCAGGGAAACGUGAACAGCCUAGCAGCCACAACUCGGAUAAGAAGAAAAGUUCUUCCUACAGCCCUCGCCGCAGGAGCAGCUCCAGGAGCUCUAGCAGGUCUCUGUCAUGCUCCUGCUCCCGAUCCCAUGACAAGAGAGAUGGGUGCAGCAAGUCACGGUCGUCACCUCACAAGGAGCAGUCCAGAGAAAGAGAUGGUGACGUUGGGGCAAGACAUCAUGACUCCGAGGCUGAGAGACACCGUCGCCGCUCAAGAAGCUAUUCACCAAUUAGGAAAAGGAGACGAGACUCCCCCAGUUUUAUGGAACCUCGGCGAAUUACAAGCUAUUCAGAUGUAUACCUAUUUCUUCAUAUCGUUUGCUGAAGAGUGCUGAAGUCGAUGGUGGUUACUGGGGGUAACCACCACUCUGCAUUGGAUUGAUGCUGUCCCACCUUGAAACCGUUUUGUGAGGCUGUAAAGGAAGAGCGUCCCAUCUCUUGCACGUAAGCGGCCCAUCCCCUACUACAGGCCCAGCCCCUCAUCGCCCAGCUCCCUGAGCAGUUACAGCUCCUACAGCCGGAGCCGGAGCCGGAGCCACAGCUAUGAUAGUUACAGCUCGUACAGCCGGAGCCGGACUCGCAGCCGGAGCCGGACUCGCAGCCGGAGCCGGACCGCCAGCUACGACAGUCGGAGCAGCUCAGAAAGUACAGGUUUUUAGAAAGGAUUAAAACAAAAGCUUCAAAAGACGCAACUAAAAGCGGACAGUCACAACUAUCAACAAGAGCUGCCUGCAAGAUAGUAGGCAUGAAACUGCGAGUAUCAGCAGUCCCAAUAGACCACUGCAACCAGAUUUGUAUUAUAACAAGUAUAUAUUUAUAUCAAGAUAGGCCCUGACAUUCAUAAAUCCUUAGAUCCAGGCUUAUGUGUCAUUCAGCACUGACAUUGGUACAGACAGACAUUGCAGUCUUUGCACUGCCUCCAUCCUGUGUUUCUCCACUGAACAUCGUUCAGGAGUUUAAAACUAUUUGCCUGGUGCUGAGGUUUAAAUGGAACACUUUUUUAAAAAAAAACAUGAAUUAUGAACCUCUGCAAAAGAAUUCUUCCAUGAAGUCAACUGAACCAAAAGUCAGCAGUUUCUUCCAAACAGAAGACAUGCAGCUAUUUAAAUAUACAUCCCCCCCACUCCCUUCCCCUCUCUGGCUGACUGAAAUUUGCAGUGAUCAAAUUUUCAGGGGGUUCUGUGCAGAUACUUGUCGAAGAGCCUCUGGACAAAGAAAAAAAAGCAUCAGAUGAACAAGUGGACAGGGAGGCACAGAAACUUGCUUUCCUUGGUUUCAUUCAGCAAGGGCCAGCUAUGAACUGCUCUCUUUCCUCCGAUCCCUCCUAUACUGACCUUGUAAUGUUGUAAGGGGAACAAUUUUAAGUCAAGACUAUGGUUACAAACACAAAACUAUGCACUGUAAAUAUAAUACCAGUAGCACAUGGUGGGGGUGUGGGGACAGUGUGGCUCCAAGAGUUCAAUGGGGAAUUGUAUAACACAUGCUGUACCAAUACAGCAAAUUAUGUAGAGUUGAAUUCAUGCCUCUAGUUGCUUUCUGCUAGAUUCUAGUUGAGGCCUACUUCAGAUAGCAAUGUUGGAAAUGUCUCAAAGAUUCGAGCUGUCUAAGUGUAGUGCACCUAAAUCGAUCAUCCUUUGUUUAAUGGCUUUCCCUUCCACACACCUUUAGGCUUUUUCAAAGGCUUCGUUUUCCCUGUAGUCUUAUUACAGCCAUGGUGCAUAAUUUGCUUACACAGAUCUGGUUAGAUUUAUACCAAAUGGUUAACCUAAGUCAGUCUUUUCCAGAGACAAUUGAAUACCCUGCAAGCCUGCCGCUCUGCCCACACCCAAACUGCUUACAACAUUCUGCCUCUUUGCAAGACAUAGAGGACCAGAUGGUUUCCUGAUUCUAAAUUGUCAAGCUCCACUGAAAUGACUCCAUCAGACAGUUGGAAGAAAGUACGACAGAAUUAGAGCUAGACAGCCAAUUCUAUACUUUAGUUAUUUUAAAUUGGAGAAAGGGCACAAGUUUACAGAACAACCUUAAGCAUGGGGAAAAGUUCAAAUUCAGUUAUUCAAAACGUUGGCUUUAAUGUGAAAGACUCUUCUACAGUUUGGGAGCUGGCAGCUUGGAACGAUAAUGAUAUUGACUAUCCUUCCACAGAGUUACCCAUUUUAGGGGUUAGCUCAGUGCCCUUGCCUUCACCUGAGCUGUGAGGGAUUAAUUGGUGAGCGACACCUAGACAUUUACUUAUAUUCUGAGGGGAGGGAGAUCUAUCUUGCAAUGUCCUGUAGAUGUGGCUUUUCAGGCAACCUUUUACCAGUUGCUUCUGUUGCAGUUAAGGUUAAUGAUUUGCAGACUCUGCCAUUUGUUACUUAUUUCUCAUUUAAAGAACUGAAGAAGUGAAUUGAAGAGAACGGUACAACCCAAGGAAUAAAAUGACACAGUGAAAGAUGGAUCGAGGAUUCAUUUGUCACAAGAAAUUCCAUAUGGUGUUUCAUUGCAGUCCUGAUAUUGAACAGGCUCCAGCAGUGGAAAACUCACAGUGAGACACUGACAUUUAUGAGCUGAUACAGAUCUGUCUUUUAUUGGGCUUUUUACAUUUAAUCAUUCACAAAUGAAGAUCUUUUAUUUUAGCAGAUUACUUUAUCUGGCCACAUGUUGGUGGUUGCUAUUUUAUCCCCUUUGGGA